AUUGAACGCUGGCGGCAGGCUUAACACAUGCAAGUCGAACGAGUGGCGGACGGGUGAGUGAUGUCUGGGAAACUGCCCGAUGGAGGGGGAUAACUACUGGAAACGGUAGCUCAUACCGCAUACCAUCGGAUGUGCCCCGAUGGCGUUAGCGAGGAGGUGGGGUAAUGGCGCACCUAGGCGACGAUCCCUAGCUGGUCUGUGAGGGUGACCAGCCACACUGGAACUGAGACACGGUCCAGACUCCUCCGGGCGGCAGCAGUGGGGAAUAUUGCACAAUGGGCGCAAGCCUGAUGCAGCCAUGCCGCGUGUAGGAAGAAGGCCUUCGGGUUGUAAAGUACUUUCAGCGGGGAGGCGUUACCCGCAGAAGAAGCACCGGCUAACUCCGUGCCAGCAGCCGCGGUAAUUC
rnacentral:rRNA from 1 species